UAUUGUGUAUUUAUUUAUAAUAUAUUUUUGUAUUUUUAUGUUGAUUUAAUUAAUUCUUAAUUGUUUUCCACAGGUUGGGAUGGCUAUAAAUUGAUAAGGGGUGAUUAAACUAAAUAACAGGCUUAUGUCGCGACGUUUCGGCCCUAUCUGGGCCUUCUUCAGGCAGCCUGUUGAUUCAAACUAAGUCUAAAUGCGUGUCCUUUUUUCCUAUUCUAAUCCUAAGUGUGUAUCUGCUUUCUGCUCCUAGGGAGAGGUCUGCUCUGCAUGCAGGAUGAGAGAGAAGUGAGGGGAGAAGUGAGGCUGCUCCCCUCACAGCCUCUGCAGCUAGCCACGCCCCCUCCCAGGGUGUGGUGAGUAUAGGGUGUUAAUAAAUUGUUGUUCGGGUGUUUUAAUAAAUUUGCUCUUUUGCAAUAAAUCAUA